rnacentral:rRNA from 1 species
AUGGUUAUUCACUCGGUGAAGGCCCUAAUGUUUCACUUAUGUACCCUCUCGCUCAGCCCCUGUAAAUCCCAGCUGAUAAUGUUGAAGUUGUGCUCUAACAUGCGGAACAAGGGAAACACAGAAGAAAAAACAACAUGGCUGAAGCUGGCACCGAAAUUGAGUUGCAAAGCAAAGCACAUGACACUGGCACUUGAAUUAAGUUGCAAAGCAAAGUACUCCUACAAGACACUGGACACAAUUCUUGAGGCAACGAGCUACAGCCAAGAGCAAUUGUGGCUUUCCUGGCUAGAACAACAUCAAAAGCACGAGCAGGGGAAUAGGUUCCCCAGGUAG